UACGGAGGGUGCUAGCGUUGUUCGGAAUCACUGGGCGUAAAGGGCGUGUAGGCGGUCUGUUAAGUCUGAUGUGAAAUCCCCAGGCUCAACCUGGGAAUGGCAUUGGAAACUGGCUAGCUGGAGUGUGGCAGAGGGGGGUGGAAUUCCGCGUGUAGCAGUGAAAUGCGUAGAGAUGCGGAGGAACACCGAUGGCGAAGGCAGCCCCCUGGGCCAACACUGACGCUCAGGCACGAAAGCGUGGGGAGCAAACAGG
rnacentral:rRNA from 1 species